CCUACGGGGGGCUGCAGUGAGGAAUAUUGGUCAAUGGACGAGAGUCUGAACCAGCCAAGUAGCGUGAAGGAUGACUGCCCUAUGGGUUGUAAACUUCUUUUAUAAAGGAAUAAAACGAGGCACGUGUGCCUGUUUGCAUGUACUUUAUGAAUAAGGAUCGGCUAACUCCGUGCCAGCAGCCGCGGUAAUACGGAGGAUCCGAGCGUUAUCCGGAUUUAUUGGGUUUAAAGGGAGCGUAGAUGGGUUGGUAAGUCAGUUGUGAAAGUUUGCGGCUCAACCGUAAAAGUGCAAUUGAUACUGGCAGUCUUGAGUACAGUGGAGGUAGGCGGAAUUCGUGGUGUAGCGGUGAAAUGCUUAGAUAUCGCGAAGAACCCCGAUUGCGAAGGCAGCUUACUAAACUGUGACUGACAUUGAGGCUCGAAAGUGUGGGUAUCAAACAGGAGUAGAUACCCGAGUAGUC
rnacentral:rRNA from 1 species